CCGUAAACGAUGAGUACUAGGUGUUGGAGGUAUCGACCCCUUCAGUGCCGAAGCCAACGCGAUAAGUACUCCGCCUGGGGACUACGGCCGCAAGGCUAAAACUCAAAGGAAUUGACGGGGGCCCGCACAAGCGGUGGAGUAUGUGGUUUAAUUCGAUGCAACGCGAAGAACCUUACCAGGGUUUGACAUGUCCGGAACCUCGGUGAAAGCUGAGGGUGCCUUCGGGAACCGGAACACAGGU
rnacentral:rRNA from 1 species